rnacentral:rRNA from 1 species
UACAGAGGUCCCGAGCGUUGUUCGGAUUCACUGGGCGUAAAGGGUGCGUAGGUGGCGAGGUAAGUCGGAUGUGAAAUCUCCGGGCUCAACCCGGAAAUGGCAUUGGAAACUACCUUGCUGGAGGAUUUGAGGGGGGAUUGGAAUACUUGGUGUAGCAGUGAAAUGCGUAGAUAUCAAGUGGAACACCAGUGGCGAAGGCGAAUCCCUGGAAAAUACCUGACACUGAGGCACGAAAGCUAGGGGAGCAAACAGG